rnacentral:rRNA from 1 species
GGAGGAUCCGAGCGUUAUCCGGAUUUAUUGGGUUUAAAGGGAGCGUAGGUGGAUUGUUAAGUCAGUUGUGAAAGUUUGCGGCUCAACCGUAAAAUUGCAGUUGAAACUGGCAGUCUUGAGUACAGUAGAGGUGGGUGGAAUUCGUGGUGUAGCGGUGAAAUGCUUAGAUAUCACGAAGAACUCCGAUUGCGAAGGCAGCUCACUAGACUGUUACUGACACUGAUGCUCGAAAGUGUGGGUAUCAAACAGGAUUAGAUACCCUGGUAGUCCACACAGUAAACGAUGAAUACUCGCUGUUUGCGAUAUACAGUAAGCGGCCAAGCGAAAGCAUUAAGUAUUCCACCUGGGGAGUACGCCGGCAACGGUGAAACUCAAAGGAAUUGACGG